rnacentral:rRNA from 1 species
UACGUAGGGGGCAAGCGUUGUCCGGAUUUAUUGGGCGUAAAGAGCGUGUAGGCGGUUUGGUAGGUCCGUUGUGAAAACUCGAGGCUCAACCUCGAGACGCCGAUGGAAACCAUCAGACUAGAGUCCGGAAGAGGAGAGUGGAAUUCCUGGUGUAGCGGUGAAAUGCGCAGAUAUCAGGAAGAACACGCGUGGCUAAGGCGGCUCUCUAGUACGGUACUGACGCUGAGACGCGAAAGCGUGGGGAGCGAACAGG